GCCGGGCGCAGUGGCUCACGCCUGUAAUCCCAGCACUUUAGGAGGCCGAGGCAGGUGGAUCACUUGAGGUCAGGAGUUUUGAGACCAGCCUGGCCAAUAUGGUGAAACCCUGUCUCUA
rnacentral:SRP_RNA from 1 species